UACGGAGGGUGCGAGCGUUGUCCGGAAUCAUUGGGCGUAAAGGGCGCGUAGGUGGCUUCUUAAGCGUGCGGUGAAAGCCUGGGGCUCAACCCCGGGUCGGCCGUGCGAACUGGGGGGCUGGAGCACUGUAGAGGCAGGCGGAAUUCCGGGUGUAGCGGUGGAAUGCGUAGAGAUCCGGAAGAACACCGGUGGCGAAGGCAGCUCGCUGGGACGGUACUGACGCUGAGACGCGAAAGCGUGGGGAGCAAACAGG
rnacentral:rRNA from 1 species